CAAUUGAUUGGCUCAGUUGGUCAGAGCAUGGUGCUAAUAAUGCCAAGGUUGUGGGUUCCAUCCCCACGUCUCCAUUUA